rnacentral:rRNA from 1 species
UUAAAUUGAAGAGUUUGAUCAUGGCUCAGAUUGAACGCUGGCGGCAGGCCUAACACAUGCAAGUCGAACGGUAACAGGAAGCAGCUUGCUGCUUCGCUGACGAGUGGCGGACGGGUGAGUAAUGUCUGGGAAACUGCCUGAUGGAGGGGGAUAACUACUGGAAACGGUAGCUAAUACCGCAUAACGUCGC